rnacentral:tRNA from 1 species
GGGGCUGUAGCUCAGUGGUAGAGUGCUUGCUGCCUCUCAUGCAUGAGGCACUGGGUUCAAUCCUCAGCACCACA